AACGCUUGUCUUUUGGAGCAGUUGGGGUCGUCUCUGCGCGCAUGCUCGUUCCCGGACCACGCCUGGCUGAG
rnacentral:rRNA from 1 species